rnacentral:rRNA from 1 species
AGCGAACGCUGGCGGCAGGCUUAACACAUGCAAGUCGAGCGGGCACUUUCGGGUGUCAGCGGCGGACGGGUGAGUAACGCGUGGGAACGUGCCCUCUGGUUCGGAAUAACUCAGGGAAACUUGAGCUAAUACCGGAUACGCCCUUUUGGGGAAAGGCUUGCUGCCGGAGGAUCGGCCCGCGUCUGAUUAGCUAGUUGGUGAGGUAACGGCUCACCAAGGCGACGAUCAGUAGCUGGUCUGAGAGGAUGAUCAGCCACACUGGGACUGAGACACGGCCCAGACCCCUCCGGGGGGGAGCAGGGGGGAAUAGUGGACAAUGGGGGAGAGCCUGAUCCCGCCGUGCCGCGUGAGUGAAAAAGGGCUUAGGGUUGUAAAGCUCUUUUAUCCGGGAGGAUAAUGACGGUACCGGAGGAAAAAGCCCGGGCAAAUUUGGU